rnacentral:rRNA from 1 species
GACGAACGCUGGCGGCGUGCUUAACACAUGCAAGUCGAACGGAAAGGCCCUGCUUUUGUGGGGUGCUCGAGUGGCGAACGGGUGAGUAACACGUGAGUAACCUGCCCUUGACUUUGGGAUAACUUCAGGAAACUGGGGCUAAUGCCGGAUAGGAGCUCCUGCUGCAUGGUGGGGGUUGGAAAGUUUCGGCGGUUGGGGAUGGACUCGCGGCUUAUCAGCUUGUUGGUGGGGUAGUGGCUUACCAAGGCUUUGACGGGUAGCCGGCCUGAGAGGGUGACCGGCCACAUUGGGACUGAGAUACGGCCCAGACUCCUACGGGAGGCAGCAGUGGGGAAUAUUGCACAAUGGGCGGAAGCCUGAUGCAGCAACGCCGCGUGCGGGAUGACGGCCUUCGGGUUGUAAACCGCUUUCGCCUGUGACGAAGCGUGAGUGACGGUAAUGGGGAAAGAAGCACCGGCUAACUACGU